GUCUCACAGCCAGCACUCUCUCCCCUCUCCCUUCCCAGGUGCUGCUCUCUCUGUUUGUUUUCCUCCUGGUCUCUCUCUCCCCAAUCUGGGUAGCCCCACCGCUUUUCUCCUGGGACUGGUUGCUAAGGUUUUGGCUUCCUGGACCACGAUCCACACUUCUGUGCAAGGAACUUCCUGGGACAUAAUAGGCUUCAUCUCUUCACAAAAGAUCUGGAAUUCAGAGUGUGUGGUGAAGAGAAGCCCCAAGAAGGAUAACAUCAUCGGAAGAAAUGAGGGCCUGAUGCGCGACUUCGCCAUGACGCCCACUGAAGCCCUGAUCGUGCAGUUUUUUGUUAUGAAUCUGAUUAUGUGUAUUUGUGUUGGUUAUUAUUUGGUUCGAUCCCUUGAAGACAAACUUCUUAUGUUGGUGGA